UGUAAGCGUAUACCAAAGUUGUUGCAGUUAAAACGCUCGUAGUCGGAAUUUGGCAGUUCCGGAUGUGUGCACGUCGUGUGCGCACUUCGCGGGGAUUGCUUUUGUGGUCUUGCGUAGGAUGAGGCACUUUUAUUAGUGAACGUCCUCACGCAACCACUUUUUACUGUGAGAAAAUCAGAGUGCUCAAAGCAGGCAUUUGCCGUGAAUGUAUUAGCAUGGAAUAAUAGAAUAGGACUUGGUUCUAUUUUGUUGGUUUUCGGAAAUCGACGUAAUGAUUAACAGGGACAGUCGGGGGCAUUAGUAUUCAGACGACAGAGGUGAAAUUCUUGGACCGUCUGAAGACUAACUACUGCGAAAGCAUUUGCCAAGAAUGUUUUCAUUAA
rnacentral:rRNA from 1 species